GAUGAACGCUGGCGGCGUGCCUAAUACAUGCAAGUCGAGCGAACAGAUGAGGAGCUUGCUCCUCUGACGUUACCGGCGGACGGGUGAGUAACACGUGGAUAACCUACCUAUAAGACUGGGAUAACUUCGCGAAACCGGAGCUAAUACCGGAUAAUAUGUUGAACCGCAUGGUUCAAUAGUGAAAGACGGUUUUGCUGUCACUUAUAGAUGGUUCCGCGCCGCAUUAGCUAGUUGGUAAGGUAACGGCUUACCAAGGCAACGAUGCGUAGCCGACCUGAGAGGGUGAUCGGCCACACUGGAACUGAGACACGGUCCAGACUCCUACGGGAGGCAGCAGUAGGGAAUCUUCCGCAAUGGGCGAAAGCCUGACGGAGCAACGCCGCGUGAGUGAUGAAGGUCUUCGGAUCGUAAAACUCUGUUAUUAGGGAAGAACAAAUGUGUAAGUAACUAUGCACGUCUUGACGGUACCUAAUCAGAAAGCCACGGCUAACUACGUG
rnacentral:rRNA from 1 species